rnacentral:rRNA from 1 species
AAACUAACAAGGAUUCCCCUAGUAGCGGCGAGCGAAGCGGGAAGAGCUCAAAUUUAUAAUCUGGCACCUUCGGUGUCCGAGUUGUAAUCUCUAGAAAUGUUUUCCGCGUUGGACCGCACACAAGUCUGUUGGAAUACAGCGGCAUAGUGGUGAGACCCCCGUAUAUGGUGCGGACGCCCAGCGCUUUGUGAUACAUUUUCGAAGAGUCGAGUUGUUUGGGAAUGCAGCUCAAAUUGGGUGGUAAAUUCCAUCUAAAGCUAAAUAUUGGCGAGAGACCGAUAGCGAACAAGUACCGUGAGGGAAAGAUGAAAAGCACUUUGGAAAGAGAGUUAACAGUACGUGAAAUUGUUGGAAGGGAAACGCUUGAAGUCAGACUUGCUUGCCGAGCAAUCGGUUUGCAGGCCAGCAUCAGUUUUCCGGGAUGGAUAAUGGUAGAGAGAAGGUAGCAGUUUCGGCUGUGUUAUAGCUCUCUGCUGGAUACAUCUUGGGGGACUGAGGAACGCAGUGUGCCUUUGGCGGGGGUUUC